UUCAGUGAUGAGCAAUCCAUAUUUUUUUGAGGUGUGGUUGGCUUCAAGACCCUGUUUUCAGGGAGAACCUACUUGGGGUGACCACAUCAAGUAUGAAAUUAAUGGAUCUUUCUGAGUC